AUACGAAGGGGGCUAGCGUUGUUCGGAAUUACUGGGCGUAAAGCGCGCGCAGGCGGUUUUCCAAGUCAGUGGUGAAAGCCCGGAGCUCAACUCCGGAACUGCCAUUGAAACUGUUAAACUUGAGGACGAGAGAGGUGAGUGGAAUUCCCAGUGUAGAGGUGAAAUUCGUAGAUAUUGGGAAGAACACCAGUGGCGAAGGCGGCUCACUGGCUCGUAUCUGACGCUCAGGCGCGAUAGCGUGGGGAUCAAACAGGAUUAGAUACCCUGGUAGUCCACGCCGUAAACGAUGAAUGCUAGCCGUUGGGUAGCUUGCUAUUCAGUGGCGCAGCUAACGCAUUAAGCAUUCCGCCUGGGGAGUACGGCCGCAAGGUUGAA
rnacentral:rRNA from 1 species